rnacentral:rRNA from 1 species
UGGGGAAUAUUGCACAAUGGGCGCAAGCCUGAUGCAGCCAUGCCGCGUGUGUGAAGAAGGCCUUCGGGUUGUAAAGCACUUUCAGCGGGGAGGAAGGCGAUAAGGUUAAUAACCUUGUCGAUUGACGUUACCCGCAGAAGAAGCACCGGCUAACUCCGUGCCAGCAGCCGCGGUAAUACGGAGGGUGCAAGCGUUAAUCGGAAUUACUGGGCGUAAAGCGCACGCAGGCGGUCUGUCAAGUCGGAUGUGAAAUCCCCGGGCUUAACCUGGGAACUGCAUUUGAAACUGGCAGGCUAGAGUCUUGUAGAGGGGGGUAGAAUUCCAGGUGUAGCGGUGAAAUGCGUAGAGAUCUGGGGGAAUACCGGUGGCGAAGGCGGCCCCCUGGACAAAGACUGAAGCUUAGGUGCGAAAGCGUGGGGAGCAAACAGG